UUCUCUGAUGUUAGCGGCGGACGGGUGAGUAACACGUGGAUAACCUACCUAUAAGACUGGGAUAACUUCGGGAAACCGGAGCUAAUACCGGAUAAUAUUUUGAACCGCAUGGUUCAAAAGUGAAAGACGGUCUUGCUGUCACUUAUAGAUGGAUCCGCGCUGCAUUAGCUAGUUGGUAAGGUAACGGCUUACCAAGGCAACGAUGCAUAGCCGACCUGAGAGGGUGAUCGGCCACACUGGAACUGAGACACGGUCCAGACUCCUACGGGAGGCAGCAGUAGGGAAUCUUCCGCAAUGGGCGAAAGCCUGACGGAGCAACGCCGCGUGAGUGAUGAAGGUCUUCGGAUCGUAAAACUCUGUUAUUAGGGAAGAACAUAUGUGUAAGUAACUGUGCACAUCUUGACGGUACCUAAUCAGAAAGCCACGGCUAACUACGUGCCAGCAGCCGCGGUAAUACGUAGGUGGCAAGCGUUAUCCGGAAUUAUUGGGCGUAAAGCGCGCGUAGGCGGUUUUUUAAGUCUGAUGUGAAAGCCCACGGCUCAACCGUGGAGGGUCAUUGGAAACUGGAAAACUUGAGUGCAGAAGAGGAAAGUGGAAUUCCAUGUGUAGCGGUGAAAUGCGCAGAGAUAUGGAGGAACACCAGUGGCGAAGGCGACUUUCUGGUCUGUAACUGACGCUGAUGUGCGAAAGCGUGGGGAUCAAACAGGAUUAGAUACCCUGGUAGUCCACGCCGUAAACGAUGAGUGCUAAGUGUUAGGGGGUUUCCGCCCCUUAGUGCUGCAGCUAACGCAUUAAGCACUCCGCCUGGGGAGUACGACCGCAAGGUUGAAACUCAAAGGAAUUGACGGGGACCCGCACAAGCGGUGGAGCAUGUGGUUUAAUUCGAAGCAACGCGAAGAACCUUACCAAAUCUUGACAUCCUUUGACAACUCUAGAGAUAGAGCCUUCCCCUUCGGGGGACAAAGUGACAGGUGGUGCAUGGUUGUCGUCAGCUCGUGUCGUGAGAUGUUGGGUUAAGUCCCGCAACGAGCGCAACCCUUAAGCUUAGUUGCCAUCAUUAAGUUGGGCACU
rnacentral:rRNA from 1 species